rnacentral:rRNA from 1 species
GACGAACGCUGGCGGCGUGCUUAACACAUGCAAGUCGAACGGAAAGGCCCUGCUUUUGUGGGGUGCUCGAGUGGCGAACGGGUGAGUAACACGUGAGUAACCUGCCCUUGACUUUGGGAUAACUUCAGGAAACUGGGGCUAAUACCGGAUAGGAGCUCCUGCUGCAUGGUGGGGGUUGGAAAGUUUCGGCGGUUGGGGAUGGACUCGCGGCUUAUCAGCUUGUUGGUGGGGUAGUGGCUUACCAAGGCUUUGACGGGUAGCCGGCCUGAGAGGGUGACCGGCCACAUGGGGACUGAGAUACGGCCCAGACUCCUACGGGAGGCAGCAGUGGGGAAUAUUGCACAAUGGGCGGAAGCCUGAUGCAGCAACGCCGCGUGCGGGAUGACGGCCUUCGGGUUGUAAACCGCUUUCGCCUGUGACGAAGCGUGAGGGACGGGAAUGGGUAAAGAAGCACCGGCGAACUACGU